AAUCAACGCUGGCGGCGUGCCUAACACAUGCAAGUCGAGCGAGAAAGGGGCUUCGGCCCUGAGUAAAGCGGCGCACGGGUGAGUAACACGUGGGUAAUCUGCCCUAGAGUGGGGAAUAACACCGGGAAACCGGUGCUAAUACCGCAUACGCUCAUGAAGUCUUCGGAUUUUGUGACGAAAGGAGCAAUCCGCUCUUGGAGGAGCCCGCGGCUGAUUAGCUAGNGGUAAGGUAAUGGCUUACCAAGGCAACGAUCAGUAUCCGGUCUGAGAGGACGGUCGGACACACUGGAACUGAGACACGGUCCAGACUCUACGGGAGGCAGCAGUGGGGAAUUUUUGGCAAUGGGGGAAACCCGUGACCAAGCAACGCCGCGUGGAUGAUGAAGUAUC
rnacentral:rRNA from 1 species